UAGGGAAUCUUCCGCAAUGGACGCAAGUCUGACGGAGCAACGCCGCGUGAGUGAAGAAGGUUUUCGGAUCGUAAAACUCUGUUGUAAGAGAAGAACAAAUUGUAGAGUAACUGCUACAGUCUUGACGGUAUCUUACCAGAAAGCCCCGGCUAACUACGUGCCAGCAGCCGCGGUAAUACGUAGGGGGCUAGCGUUGUCCGGAAUCACUGGGCGUAAAGGGUUCGCAGGCGGAAAUGCAAGUCAGGUGUAAAAGGCAGUAGCUUAACUACUGUAAGCAUUUGAAACUGCAUAUCUUGAGAAGAGUAGAGGUAAGUGGAAUUUUUAGUGUAGCGGUGAAAUGCGUAGAUAUUAAAAAGAAUACCGGUGGCGAAGGCGACUUACUGGGCUCAUUCUGACGCUGAGGAACGAAAGCGUGGGUAGCAAACAGG
rnacentral:rRNA from 1 species